GUGCUCACUUUGGCAGCACAUAUACUGAAAUUGGAAUGAUACAGAGAAGAUUAGCAUAGCUCCUGCCCAAGGAUAACACCCCAAUUCAUGAAGCAUUCCAUAUUUUA
ensembl:snRNA U6 U6 spliceosomal RNA